rnacentral:rRNA from 1 species
GUUACUGCUAUCGGUGUUCGACUAAGCCAUGCAAGUCAUAUGUUCCUCGUGAACAUGGCAUACUGCUCAGUAACACGUGGAUAACCUGCCCUUGGGUCUGGGAUAACCCCGGGAAACUGGGGAUAAUAUCGGAUAACGCAUAUGUGCUGGAAUGCUUUAUGCGUAAAACGGAUUCGUCCGCCCAAGGAUGGGUCUGCGGCCUAUCAGGUAGUAGUGGGUGUAAUGUACCUACUAGCCAACAACGGGUACGGGUUGUGAGAGCAAGAGCCCGGAGAUGGAUUCUGAGACAUGAAUCCAGGCCCUACGGGGCGCAGCAGGCGCGAAAACUUUACAAUGCGGGAAACCGUGAUAAGGGAACACCGAGUGCCAGCAUCAUAUGCUGGCUGUCCAGAUGUGUAAACUACAUCUGUUAGCAAGGGCCGGGCAAGACCGGUGCCAGCCGCCGCGGUAACACCGGCGGCCCGAGUGGUGACCGUUAUUAUUGGGUCUAAAGGGUCCGUAGCCGGUUUGGUCAGUCCUCCGGGAAAUCUGAUAGCUUAACUGUUAGGCUUUCGGGGGAUACUGCCAGGCUUGGAACCGGGAGAGGUAAGAGGUACUACAGGGGUAGGAGUGAAAUCUUGUAAUCCCUGUGAGACCACCUGUGGCGAAGGCGUCUUACCAGAACGGGUUCGACGGUGAGGGACGAAAGCUGGGGGCACGAACCGGAUUAGAUACCCGGGUAGUCCCAGCCGUAAACUAUGCUCGCUAGGUGUCAGGCAUGGCGCGACCGUGUCUGGUGCCGCAGGGAAGCCGUGGAGCGAGCCACCUGGGAAGUACGGCCGCAAGGCUGAAACUUAAAGGAAUUGGCGGGGGAGCACAACAACGGGUGGAGCCUGCGGUUUAAUUGGACUCAACGCCGGACAACUCACCGGGGACGACAGCAAUAUGUAGGCCAGGCUGAAGACCUUGCCUGAAUCGCUGAGAGGAGGUGCAUGGCCGUCGCCAGUUCGUACUGUGAAGCAUCCUGUUAAGUCAGG